rnacentral:sRNA from 1 species
AUCAACGGAGACAAGGUGCUUGCUUUUAGAAUUCUGAGCUGAUCUUUUACGCAGCCCAGUAGCAAAAAAAAACACCAACAUUCGAAAAAAAUACUCUCAAUGGAACGCAUUGUCCAGAUUUUAGUGCUUGCAGCUUGGACGCUGACUGCGUCUGUUUGCAACGUUGCAGCAGAUUGCGUAACAGAUCCCGAGUCGAUGCUGUGCGUCUUGGACCCAAAUCGAGGCUAAGAACAAAUAUGUUGCAAUACUUACUUAUGCCCGAAGUGUUUAUGAAUAAAUAAUUCAACAAUGUGGCCCCAAUGUGCUAAUCAUAGCUAAAUGGGCGGGAAGCACACCCACGUCUAAGCAAAGUUCGAGUUUUUUGUU